rnacentral:tRNA from 1 species
GUAGUGGGUAGUUCAGUGGCAGAACACUUCCCUGGCAUGUGUGAGGUCCUAAGUUUGAUCCCUAGUACUGCA